rnacentral:rRNA from 1 species
AUCUUCGGACCUCGCGCCAUUAGAUGAGCCUAGGUCGGAUUAGCUAGUUGGUGAGGUAAUGGCUCACCAAGGCGACGAUCCGUAACUGGUCUGAGAGGAUGAUCAGUCACACUGGAACUGAGACACGGUCCAGACUCCUACGGGAGGCAGCAGUGGGGAAUAUUGGACAAUGGGCGAAAGCCUGAUCCAGCCAUGCCGCGUGUGUGAAGAAGGUCUUCGGAUUGUAAAGCACUUUAAGUUGGGAGGAAGGGUAGUAACCUAAUACGUUGCUACUUUGACGUUACCGACAGAAUAAGCACCGGCUAACUUCGUG